rnacentral:rRNA from 1 species
GGAUUAGAUACCCUGGUAGUCCUCGCCGUAAACGAUGUGUACUUGGUGUAGUUGGACUCAACCCCAACUGUGCCGGAGCUAACGUGUUAAGUACACCGCCUGGGGAGUACACUCGCAAGGGUGAAACUCAAAAGAAUUGACGGGGACCCGCACAAGCAGUGGAGCAUGUGGUUUAAUUCGAUGCAACGCGAAGAACCUUACCCAGACUUGACAUCCAGUGGAUCGCUUCAGAGAUGAAGUUUCUCGUAUGAGUCGCUGGACAGGUGCUGCAUGGCUGUCGUCAGCUCGUGCCG